rnacentral:misc_RNA from 1 species
GAUGAAGAACGUAGCGAAAUGCGAUAAGUAAUGUGAAUUGCAGAAUUCAGUGAAUCAUCGAAUCUUUGAACGCACAUUGCGCCCGCCAGUAUUCUGGCGGGCAUGCCUGUUCGAGCGUCAUUACAACCCUCAGGCCCCCGGGCCUGGCGUUGGGGAUCGGCGGAGCCCCCCGUGGGCACACGCCGUCCCCCAAAUGCAGUGGCGGUCCCGCCGCAGCUUCCAUCGCGUAGUAGCUAACACCUCGCGACUGGAGAGCGGCGCGGCCACGCCGUAAAACACCCAACUCUUCUGAAGUUGACCUCGGAUCAGGUAGGAAUACCCGCUGAACUUACGCAUAUCAAUAAGCGGAGGA